rnacentral:rRNA from 1 species
GAUGAACGCUGGCGGCGUGCUUAACACAUGCAAGUCGAACGGGAAUUACUUUAUUGAAGCUUCGGUCGAUUUAAUUUAAUUCUAGUGGCGGACGGGUGAGUAACGCGUGGGUAACCUGCCUUAUACAGGGGGAUAACAGUCAGAAAUGGCUGCUAAUACCGCAUAAGCGCACAGAGCUGCAUGGCUCAGUGUGAAAAACUCCGGUGGUAUAAGAUGGACCCGCGUUGGAUUAGCUUGUUGGUGGGGUAACGGCCCACCAAGGCGACGAUCCAUAGCCGGCCUGAGAGGGUGAACGGCCACAUUGGGACUGAGACACGGCCCAGACUCCUACGGGAGGCAGCAGUGGGGAAUAUUGCACAAUGGGGGAAACCCUGAUGCAGCGACGCCGCGUGAAGGAAGAAGUAUCUCGGUAUGUAAACUUCUAUCAGCAGGGAAGAUAGUGACG